CCUACGGGAGGCAGCAGUGGGGAAUUUUGGACAAUGGGCGCAAGCCUGAUCCAGCAAUGCCGCGUGAGUGAAGAAGGCCUUCGGGUUGUAAAGCUCUUUUGUCAGGGAAGAAACGGUCUACUCUAAUACAGUGGGCUAAUGACGGUACCUGAAGAAUAAGCACCGGCUAACUACGUGCCAGCAGCCGCGGUAAUACGUAGGGUGCAAGCGUUAAUCGGAAUUACUGGGCGUAAAGCGUGCGCAGGCGGUUAUAUAAGUCAGAUGUGAAAUCCCCGGGCUCAACCUGGGAACUGCAUUUGAGACUGUAUGGCUAGAGUGUGUCAGAGGGGGGUAGAAUUCCACGUGUAGCAGUGAAAUGCGUAGAUAUGUGGAGGAAUACCGAUGGCGAAGGCAGCCCCCUGGGAUAACACUGACGCUCAUGCACGAAAGCGUGGGGAGCAAACAGGAUUAGAUACCCUGGUAGUCCACGCCCUAAACGAUGUCUACUAGUUGUCGGGACUUAAUUGUCUUGGUAACGCNGCUACGCGNGAGUAGACCGCCGUCGGGAGGUACGGUCGCGAGAGUAAACGUAACGAAAGAAGUAGUACGCGUGAGACGUAGCGACGGACGACGACGAGGGAGGAGG
rnacentral:rRNA from 1 species